AGAGUUUGAUCCUGGCUCAGGAUGAACGCUGGCGGCGUGCCUAAUACAUGCAAGUCGAGCGAACGGACGAGAAGCUUGCUUCUCUGAUGUUAGCGGCGGACGGGUGAGUAACACGUGGAUAACCUACCUAUAAGACUGGGAUAACUUCGGGAAACCGGAGCUAAUACCGGAUAAUAUUUUGAACCGCAUGGUUCAAAAGUAAAAGACGGUCUUGCUGUCACUUAUAGAUGGAUCCGCGCUGCAUUAGCUAGUUGGUAAGGUAACGGCUUACCAAGGCAACGAUGCAUAGCCGACCUGAGAGGGUGAUCGGCCACACUGGAACUGAGACACGGUCCAGACUCCUACGGGAGGCAGCAGUAGGGAAUCUUCCGCAAUGGGCGAAAGCCUGACGGAGCAACGCCGCGUGAGUGAUGAAGGUCUUCGGAUCGUAAAACUCUGUUAUUAGGGAAGAACAUAUGUGUAAGUAACUGUGCACAUCUUGACGGUACCUAAUCAGAAAGCCACGGCUAACUACGUGCCAGCAGCCGCGGUAAUACGUAGGUGGCAAGCGUUAUCCGGAAUUAUUGGGCGUAAAGCGCGCGUAGGCGGUUUUUUAAGUCUGAUGUGAAAGCCCACGGCUCAACCGUGGAGGGUCAUUGGAAACUGGAAAACUUGAGUGCAGAAGAGGAAAGUGGAAUUCCAUGUGUAGCGGUGAAAUGCGCAGAGAUAUGGAGGAACACCAGUGGCGAAGGCGACUUUCUGGUCUGUAACUGACGCUGAUGUGCGAAAGCGUGGGGAUCAAACAGGAUUAGAUACCCUGGUAGUCCACGCCGUAAACGAUGAGUGCUAAGUGUUAGGGGGUUUCCGCCCCUUAGUGCUGCAGCUAACGCAUUAAGCACUCCGCCUGGGGAGUACGACCGCAAGGUUGAAACUCAAAGGAAUUGACGGGGACCCGCA
rnacentral:rRNA from 2 species